CAGCGCCUAGCUACUUUCCGAAUAAGAAAUAAUACUCAGCCCCAUGUGGCUUUUAUAAAAUCAAGUUGACAAAAAAUUCGUGGGCUUUAGUGGCUUUCGUUUAGGGCCCAUUUGUUUGAUGUGUAUAUGUAUAUAUAAAGACACCCUAGAACGUAAGGGAGGACUUGUGUGUGUGAUACGUUAGAAAGGUUUGAGAGGAUGAAGGCGACGGCUGAACACGGUACAGCUAAGAUAGCGGUGUGGUGGGACAUGAAGGACUGUCCGAUUCCGGAAGGUUAUGACGCUGGUCGGGUCCGAGCGAGCUUAAGCGGCGUUCAAGGAACGACCAAACACAAACCCCUGGUCACAUCCUGCAAGGGCUCGUAUCCACUGGAAUCUCUGUAGCACAUACCAGAUCCGAAAGCACAAACUACCUCAUGUAUCGGGAUAUUGUGGAAUGGCGAGGUCAGAAUGCUCCUCCAGCUACAAUGAUGAUCAUACCAGAUAAGGUGCGAGGUGUCUUUGAUUGGGAUCUGCUCCGGCAACAACAACGGACGCGAUACAACCUUUUUCUGGCUUAUUCAGUUAAGCCUCGAGUAGCUAACCUCCUCUGCACAAGUGAAGAGUGGUGCUGGACAAGUUUACUAUAUAGUAAACAAAGCGGACCAGUUGUUGUUCAGAGUGCCAAGUUGUAUUGCAAAUCGUGCAAUUUCGAUUGCCAAAGCCUGAAGAAAUUCGAGAAGCAUCUCUCGAGUUAUAAGCACGUACGAGAAGUAAGCAUCGUCUCUCUAUUUGCUUCAAUUUGAUUGAGAUUUUGUGUUAAACAUGAACAUUUCAAUAAUUUAUUUAUUUAUUUUGGAAACUAUGUCUAUGUAUAUAUAUAUAUAUAGGAAAAAUCGCAUUUUAAACCCUGAGAAUGUCACAUUCUAGCACUUUAAACACUGAACGUUUUUGAUUAGCACUUUAAACCUUGAAAAUAACAUUUUUAUCAUAACAAACCUCCAAGUCAACUAGGUGACCUUUACUGUUUGAGCAAUAACCCUGUUUAAAUUUUUGCACUUGCAUAACUUUUUGCACUUGGAGGAGAAGAGACUUCCUGCGUCUCGUAAAUCUAAUAUUCAGGGCCAGAGGCGAUUUCGAGUAGCUGAGUACGACCGACAUCAUUUGCCACAGGCAAGUUUUUUCUUUCUUUUUUUUUUCUCUCUCUCUCUCUCUCUCUCUCUCUACAAAAGAUUGAAUAGAAAAAGUAGUCGCAUGUACACUCAAAAUGUGUCAUACAUUGUAGGUGAAAAAUGAUCGAAAAACCAAACGUAUGAAGAAGAAAGCAAAUUCGGACGGGUUUUGGACUUCUUGAUGAUCACUUACGUCUUACUAAUCGACCUUGAUCUCAAACCUAGAGUGUUGAACUUGUUACUAAGCUGCAGCUCUUGCUUUUCGUUUCUAGUCUAUGUUUUAAUGUAAAAUACUUGUUUUUCAUUUUGCUUUGCUUGUUUAAUACCAUGGUUUUAUCUAUUUAAGAAAUACAACAAGUUAAUCUUA